GACGAACGCUGGCGGCGUGCUUAACACAUGCAAGUCGAACGGAAAGGCCCUGCUUUUGUGGGGUGCUCGAGUGGCGAACGGGUGAGUAACACGUGAGUAACCUGCCCUUGACUUUGGGAUAACUUCAGGAAACUGGGGCUAAUACCGGAUAGGAGCUCCUGCUGCAUGGUGGGGGUUGGAAAGUUUCGGCGGUUGGGGAUGGACUCGCGGCUUAUCAGCUUGUUGGUGGGGUAGUGGCUUACCAAGGCUUUGACGGGUAGUCGGCCUGAGAGGGUGACCGGGCACAUGGGGACUGAGAUACGGCCCAGACUCCUACGGGAGGCAGCAGGGGGGAAUAUGGCACAAUGGGCGGAAGCCUGAUGCAGCAACGCCGCGUGCGGGAUGACGGCCUUCGGGUUGUAAACCGCUUUCGCCUGUGACGAAGCGUGAGUGACGGUAAUGGGUAAAGAAGCACCGGCUAACUACGUG
rnacentral:rRNA from 1 species